AAUCUUCCAACACAUUGUAGGCGUAAUAUUUCUUUUAUUUUCUUUAUGGAAUCAAUUGUUUCAUCCAAGUACAUGCCCGUACCAUUACACCGGAACGGAACAACAUUACACUGCAACGAAACGCCCGUUGCUGUUGACAUUAGCCUCCCAGAAACGAGUGUAGUACAAUAGUAGCCUAUUCACCGUGGUGGCCAAAUGCUCUUGUUUGCUAGGCAAAACUCGUCUGUGCAUUACCAAACCUUGAUCAUAUCAGACCGGGAAAGACGACGUGUUUGUAGCCUAUUCAUUUAGAGAAGAGGAGAAGAGGAGAAUUCACAAUAAAUCCCUCUCACAGCCACCGGAGGGCGAGCAUUCAAAGUGAGCACGGGUGAAGAGGAUAACUAUACAAAUCAUUGGAAAUCUCCUUGGAUAAAUUCAUUUGAUCGCCUAUUCCCUAUGGGCAAAAUGCUAUUGAUUUUUUAAACCAAUCUCUUCUUGGCUUUUCUAUAGCAAUCGGGUGAAUACGAUUUACAUUGCGUUAGGAACCUUUGAUUCCGGAUAUCAUGUUGACAAUGGGACACGGUUAACUGUAAAACAGGAUGUUUUUCUCCGUCGUUCAGGUAAGCUUUCGUUCAAUACACCUGCUUAAAACACCUGUUUAGUGUAUCCUAUUAUAACCCAGCGAAAGAGGGAGACUUGUGGUAUGUAGUUGAUUCAUUAUUUCAUUCGUUUACCUAUCGUUUGCGCCGCUAACAAGCUAGCGCGAGUAGCUUGCUAUUUAGCCAGCUACUAUAGGUUACCUAUGGCUGUAGCUAACCCGUUAGCAAGUAGGCCGCGCUAGCCAGCUGGCUACUAAAGACGUGAGUGCUACUUGUUUUAUUUUCUCAAGUAUGUAUACAUUAAUUCCAUCAAAAUGGGACAACAUCUCUGGUGGUGGUAAUAAUAGAUGGUAGAAUAAAUCCCGUUAGUAAGUAGCUUGCUAUUUAGCCAGCUCCUAUAGGUUACCUAUGGCUUUCGCUAACCCGUUAGCAAGUAGGCCGCGCUAGCCAGCUGGCUACUAAAGACGUGAGUGCUACUUGUUUUAUUUUCUCAAGUAUGUAUACAUUAAUUCCAUCAAAAUGGGACAACAUCUCUGAUGGUGGUAAUAAUAGAUGGUAGAAUAAAUCCCGUUAGUAAGUAGCUUGCUAUUUAGCCAGCUCCUAUAGGUUACCUAUGGCUUUCGCUAACCCGUUAGCAAGUAGGCCGCGCUAGCCAGCUGGCUACUAAAGACGUGAGUGCUACUUGUUUUAUUUUCUCAAGUAUGUAUACAUUAAUUCCAUCAAAAUGGGACAACAUCUCUGAUGGUGGUAAUAAUAGAUGGUAGAAUAAAUCCCGUUAGUAAGUAGCUUGCUAUUUAGCCAGCUCCUAUAGGUUACCUAUGGCUUUCGCUAACCCGUUAGCAAGUAGGCCGCGCUAGCCAGCUGGCUACUAAAGAC